rnacentral:rRNA from 1 species
GACGAACGCUGGCGGCGUGCUUAACACAUGCAAGUCGAACGGAAAGGCCCUGCUUUUGUGGGGUGCUCGAGUGGCGAACGGGUGAGUAACACGUGAGUAACCUGCCCUUGACUUUGGGAUAACUUCAGGAAACUGGGGCUAUUACCGGAUAGGAGCUCCUGCUGCAUGGUGGGGGUUGGAAAGUUUCGGCGGUUGGGGAUGGACUCGCGGCUUAUCAGCUUGUUGGUGGGGUAGUGGCUUACCAAGGCUUUGACGGGUAGCCGGCCUGAGAGGGUGACCGGCGACAUUGGGACUGAGAUACGGCCCAGACUCCUACGGGAGGCAGCAGUGGGGAAUAUUGCACAAUGGGCGGAAGCCUGAUGCAGCAACGCCGCGUGCGGGAUGACGGCCUUCGGGUUGUAAACCGCUUUCGCCUGUGACGAAGCGUGAGUGACGGUAAUGGGUAAAGAAGCACCGGCUAACUACGUG